GGCUAAAUAGUCUAGUGGUCAAAAUGUCUGCCAGUGUUGGGAAGGCCUAGGUUCAAAUCCUGGUUCUGCCA